AUCCCAUGAUGAGGGCAUCUACAUAGUAACUCCUUGAAUCUUUCUCAUGCCUCGUAUAAGAACUCGUCAUCCAGUUGUUGAAAAGUGGUGAUCUCAUUCCGCAACUU
rfam:Gossypium raimondii Chr13_contig_340, whole genome shotgun sequence.